ensembl:lncRNA
CUAUUUGUAACAAUGCGCGUAAUUUUUCGCUUUGUAACAAUUAAAAGAAUAAUAGGCGCGUGGGAAUGUGUUUACUUGUAAUACACUGUACAAUUUGAACUAUUGUGUAAGCCCGAUGUGGUUAGUUAAUUAACAGAUCAGUUUUCAUAAUCAGGCCGAAUUCCGACAUUGGAUGUCAUUCUACCUGCAGCGUUGGGUGGGGGUGUACAGCGGAGCUUGUUUAAUAGCCUAAGGAAGGAGCCCAGCUAACAAUUUUUGGAUCACAUAACAUACAUUUUUAAGUGUUGUUUUUUUUUUGGUUAGCCAGGAAGGUUUUCUUUAGAACGUUGUUUUAGGUUUGCAGAACCUUAAUGUUCUCUUAACACCCCCCUAACGUCCCCUAAAUAGUCAUACAUUAUGCAGCAUUAAUCAUAAAUAAUACAAUCAGUCUAUAUAAAUAAAUAAUCAGCACACAAUCUAUGUUUGUGUCAAUCCAAUGUUUACAUUAAAUAAAAAGCCAUGAAUGUCGGGGCAUUUAAAAUAGUAAUUUUCAUUUAAUACGAAAAAACAACAACAUGGAAACAUUUCCUAGGGUGUACCCCGCCUUGUGCCCAAUGCUACCUGGGAUAGGCUACAGAUUCCCCGUGAUCCUGAAAAGGAGUAAGCGGUAGAAGAUGGAUGGAUGGAUGGAUGGAUGGAUGUUUGCGACGUUCAGCACCAGUAAAGCGUUUCAUGGCAUACAACAGUAUUUUCUUAAGCCCAUCUUCAGUGACGCCUCGGUCAGACAUCGCUGUGGUUGAAAUGUUUGUCAGGAUUUAUUCUCUCAUUAUCCACCAUUAACACGCGGCUUCUUCUGUUCCGUCACAAUGACAGGACUCACUCCAGAAGAUCCAUCAUCAUCCAGGCUUUAGAGCUGGAAAGUGCUGAAAUGUCCAGCAGACGUCUUCACCAUCAUCAUCAGUUAGGAAUGAUGGAAAUGUGCUCUUUUUAAGAUGUUAAUAAGGCCAGACUUCAACAUUUUAUUGCAUUAUUCUCCUCUCCUACCAUCCCUAAACUGACUAUUGCUUGUAACUACGCAAACACACAAAUAUUAAUGUUUCUAUACAAAUUUCAUCAUCCAGACUGCUUAUAAAAACAGAUAUGAAU